CCAGGACUUGUCAUCUCCAGUUUCAUGAACCCCAAAGUGGCAUAGAAGCAGAAAACUACCAUCCUUUAAGGAAACUGCGUGAGCCACCAUGCCCAGCCUACAAUAUGCUAUUUCUUGCUUACCAAGGUUUAGAUUCAGAUUUUGUACACACAAAUUGGAUCAAGUUUCUUCUACUCUUCAAAAAUUUCAAUGACUUCACACUACUUUUUCAAUAAAAUACAAACUUUUCACCAUAGACUUCAAGAUUCCGCAGUGUCACCCUUGUUUAGCAUACUACCCUUCAUCUGCCACCACAUUCCCUUUGCUCACUAUGAACCAGCUUCUCUUUCAGUUCUUCAAAAAUGUCAAGCUCUCCUAUCACUCAGGGUCUGUUCUCUUGAUUUAUAAUGCUCUUUCCUUUCCCUUCCCUUCUUCACACUUUGAUUCCUUCUAGUCUUUAGUAUCAGCUUUAUGUCACCACUACAAAGAGAUCAUCCCUAAACAAUCUAUCUGAAACCCUUCUGCUCUGAGAUUCUCUACCACUGAACCACCUUGAUUUUUCUUAGCAAACUCAGAGCUUUUCAGAUUGAAUAAAUAAAACAAGAUCCAAAUACAUGCUACAUACAAAGACACACUUUAGAUUCAAAUAAUCUAAAAAGGUUUUUAAGGUUAAAAAAAAAAAAAAAGGUAAGCCA
rnacentral:lncRNA from 1 species